UACGUAGGGCGCAAGCGUUGUUCGGAAUUAUUGGGCGUAAAGCGCGUGUAGGCGGCUCGUUAUGUCGGGUGUGAAAGCCCUCAGCUUAACUGAGGAAGUGCGCCCGAAACUGGCGAGCUUGAGUGUCGGAGAGGAUAGCGGAACACCCGGUGUAGAGGUGAAAUUCGUAGAUAUCGGGUAGAACACCAGUGGCGAAGGCGGCUAUCUGGACGACAACUGACGCUGAGACGCGAAAAGCGUGGGGAGCAAACAGG
rnacentral:rRNA from 1 species